GACGAACGCUGGCGGCGUGCUUAACACAUGCAAGUCGAGCGGAAAGGUCCUUCGGGGUACUCGAGCGGCGAACGGGUGAGUAACACGUGAGUAACCUGCCCCAGACUUUGGGAUAACCCUCGGAAACGGGGGCUAAUACCGGAUACGACACAGCUUCGCAUGGGGUCUGUGUGGAAAGUUUUUCGGUUUGGGAUGGGCUCGCGGCCUAUCAGCUUGUUGGUGGGGUGAUGGCCUACCAAGGCGACGACGGGUAGCCGGCCUGAGAGGGCGACCGGCCACACUGGGACUGAGACACGGCCCAGACUCCUACGGGAGGCAGCAGUGGGGAAUAUUGCACAAUGGGCGGAAGCCUGAUGCAGCGACGCCGCGUGAGGGAUGACGGCCUUCGGGUUGUAAACCUCUUUCAGCAGGGACGAAGCGUAAGUGACGGUACCUGCAGAAGAAGCGCCGGCCAACUACGUG
rnacentral:rRNA from 1 species